rnacentral:sRNA from 3 species
AAGCUGGAACGACUCCUUCAGGCCAGCCACCGGGAAAUCCCUUGCAAAUCAGUCAUCCGUGAAACUGGCACAGCCCCUGCAUCGAGAAAACCGACAGAUCACAUAAGCAUUGCCUUCAACGUGGAGGGCAGUGUUUCCCGACAGAACGGGAAUGGACAAAGGCGUCCUCGCUGGGUAACCGGCGGGACGCC